UAUUACACUGAGACGUGAUGACGAGCCACCAAGGUGGUGAAGUAGUUGAUGCCCGGCUUCCAGGAAAAGCCUCUAAGCGACAGGUAAUUUUUAAUCGUACCCCAAACCGACACAGGUGGUUAGGUAGAGAAUACUCAGGCGCUUGAGAGAACUCGGGUGAAGGAACUAGGCAAAAUGGUGCCGUAACUUCGGGAGAAGGCACGCUGGCAUUAGGUGAAGGGUCUUGCAUCUGGAGCUGAAGCCAGUCGAAGAUACCAGCUGGCUGCAACUGUUUAUUAAAAACACAGCACUGUGCAAACACGAAAGUGGACGUAUACGGUGUGACGCCUGCCCGGUGCUGGAAGGUUAAUUGAUGGGGUAAGCCGUAAGGCGAAGCUCUUGAUCGAAGCCCCAGUAAACGGCGGCCGUAACUAUAACGGUCCUAAGGUAGCGAAAUUCCUUGUCGGGUAAGUUCCGACCUGCACGAAUGGCGUAAUGAUGGCCAGGCUGUCUCCACCCGAGACUCAGUGAAAUUGAACUCGCUGUGAAGAUGCAGUGUACCCGCGGCAAGACGGAAAGACCCCGUGAACCUUUACUAUAGCUUGACACUGAACAUUGAGCCUUGAUGUGUAGGAUAGGUGGGAGGCUUUGAAGUGUGGACGCCAGUCUGCAUGGAGCCAACGUUGAAAUACCACCCUUUAAUGUUUGAUGUUCUAACUUGGGCCCGUAAUCCGGGCUGAGGACAGUGUCUGGUGGGUAGUUUGACUGGGGCGGUCUCCUCCCAAAGCGUAACGGAGGAGCACGAAGGUUGGCUAAUCACGGUCGGACAUCGUGAGGUUAGUGCAAAGGCAUAAGCCAGCUUGACUGCGAGCGUGACGGCGCGAGCAGGUACGAAAGUAGGUCUUAGUGAUCCGGUGGUUCUGAAUGGAAGGGCCAUCGCUCAACGGAUAAAAGGUACUCCGGGGAUAACAGGCUGAUACCGCCCAAGAGUUCAUAUCGACGGCGGUGUUUGGCACCUCGAUGUCGGCUCAUCACAUCCUGGGGCUGAAGUAGGUCCCAAGGGUAUGGCUGUUCGCCAUUUAAAGUGGUACGCGAGCUGGGUUUAGAACGUCGUGAGACAGUUCGGUCCCUAUCUGUCGUGGGCGAAGGAAGAUUGAGGGGGGCUGCUCCUAGUACGAGAGGACCGGAGUGGACGCACCACUGGUGUACAGGUUGUCAUGCCAAUGGCAUCGCCUGGUAGCUAAGUGCGGAAGAGAUAACCGCUGAAAGCAUCUAAGCGGGAAACUUGCCUCAAGAUGAGUCUUCCCUGACAGUAAUGUCCUGUAAGGGGUGUUCGAGACGAGGACGUAGAUAGGCUGGGUGUGUAAGCGUAGCGAUACGUUGAGCUAACCAGUACUAAUGACCCGAGAGGCUUAACCU
rnacentral:rRNA from 1 species